UACGUAGGGACCAAGCGUUGUUCGGAUUUACUGGGCGUAAAGGGCGCGUAGGCGGCGCGGUAAGUCACUUGUGAAAUCUCUGAGCUUAACUCAGAACGGCCAAGUGAUACUGCAGUGCUGGAGUGUGGAAGGGGCAAUCGGAAUUCUUGGUGUAGCGGUGAAAUGCGUAGAUAUCAAGAGGAACACCUGAGGUGAAGACGGGCUGCUGGGCCAACACUGACGCUGAUGCGCGAAAGCCAGGGGAGCAAACGGG
rnacentral:rRNA from 1 species